UGGCGUGUGUGUCCCUUCCUCCUCCCAGCCAGCUCCCGCUCCACCCCCGACCGCUCGGCGCCUUCCCUCCCCGAGCCCCCGCGUCUUCCCAACCGCCCGCACACUCACGGGCCAUGCUGACCACCGGCCGGAGACUGGAAGACAGCGACUUGGAGAAGCAACGGCGGCUUGCACGCUCCGCAGCGGUCGCCGCCCGGUGCUGAGGAAGGCUGAGCCCCGCGAGGGCCCUCGGUGUGGCGACGCCUCGCUCAGCCAGCCAGCCGCCCCGCCCACCGACCCACAACAGCCGCGGCGUGGCCGGUGA
rnacentral:lncRNA from 1 species